rnacentral:rRNA from 1 species
GGCAUGCCUUACACAUGCAAGUCGAACGGUAACAGGUCUUCGGAUGCUGACGAGUGGCGAACGGGUGAGUAAUACAUCGGAACGUGCCCGAUCGUGGGGGAUAACGAGGCGAAAGCUUUGCUAAUACCGCAUACGAUCUACGGAUGGAAGCGGGGGAUCUUCGGACCUCGCGCGGACGGAGCGGCCGAUGGCAGAUUAGGUAGUUGGUGGGAUAAAAGCUUACCAAGCCGACGAUCUGUAGCUGGUCUGAGAGGAUGAUCAGCCACACUGGGACUGANANNCGGCCCAGACUCCUACGGGAGGCAGCAGUGGGGAAUUUUGGACAAUGGGCGAAAGCCUGAUCCAGCCAUGCCGCGUGCAGGAUGAAGGCCUUCGGGUUGUAAACUGCUUUUGUACGGAACGAAAAGCCUCUUUCUAAUAAAGAGGGGUCAUGACGGUACCGUAAGAAUAAGCACCGGCUAACUACGUGCCAGCAGCCGCGGUAAUACGUAGGGUGCAAGCGUUAA